rnacentral:rRNA from 1 species
GACGAACCGUGCGAACGUUAUUCGGAAUCACUGGGCUUAAAGGGCGCGUAGGCGGGCCGAAAAGCCAGGGGUGAAAUCCUCCAGCCCAACUGGAGAAGCGCCUUUGGAACUGGCGGCCUCGAGGGGUGCAGGGGCAUGCGGAACUCAGGGUGGAGCGGUGAAAUGCGUAGAUAUCCUGAGGAACACCGGUGUCGAAAGCGGCGUGCUGGACACCUUCUGACGCUGAGGCGCGAAAGCCAGGGGAGCGAACGGG